GUGGCUCCUUCACUGCUGCUGCACUGUGAGAGCUGCAGUGCAGCCAGAAGCAGCCACGGAGAGCAACGCGAGUGGUUCCUGCCGACAGGCUCUGCAGAGCGAUCAGUGUUCUGUGCGAUGGUUCCACACACU